ACGUUAGUUGCUAACGCGUGAAGGCGAGCACUCUAGACGAACUGCCGUUGACAAAACGGAGGAAGUGGGGAUGACGUCAAAUCAUCAUGCCCCUUAUGUUCUGGGCUACACACGUGCUACAAUGGCCGGUACAGACGGACGCAAAGCCGCGAGGUGGAGCAAAUCCUAAAAAGCCGGUCUCAGUUCGGAUUGCAGGCUGCAAUUCGCCUGCAUGAAGUCGGAAUCGCUAGUAAUCGCAGGUCAGCAUACUGCGGUCGAAUACGUUCCGGCCUU
rnacentral:rRNA from 1 species